rnacentral:lncRNA from 1 species
CUCGGCGGCAUCGCGUCCCGCCGGCAGCCCGACUCCGUCCUUGGCUUUCUCAAAAGCCACGGUUUCGACGACACCCAUGUGAAAGAGCUGCUGUCUGGGAACCCCCGGUGGCUUCUCCUCGACGUGGAGAAGACCCUGGCCGCCAAGUUCCGAGCUCUCCAGGAGUUAGGCUUCUCACAGUCCGACAUCACCCAACUCGUCCUGACCAAUCCCUCCGCAAUCAACUACCACAUCCGCACCGUCGUGCACAGGAUCCGGUUUUGGCAGGGACUCAUCGGAUCCAACGACCUCCUCAUAAAGCUCUGUAAUCACCACCAGUGGCUUCUCGGGUAUAGCGUCGAGAAGAGGAUCCAGCCAAACAUCGAUAUGCUACGGAGCUGUGGAUUCACGGAUCAAAAGCUUAGAACGAUCCUGGGGUACCACCCCACGUUGGUAACCCAGAGGGCGGAAACCUUGAGGACCUUGAUCAGUCGUGUCGAGGGAUUCGGAGUAGCCCGCACCUCGCCGAGGUUCCACUUGACUCUGUGGAUGCUCUCCAAUGUUAGCGUGGAGAGAUUCAAUGCGCAAAAGAAGCUAUUCGGGGCCUUCGGGUGGUCAGAGGCCGACUUCCUCGACGCAUUCAAAAAGACUCCUGGUUUCUUGACAAGUUCCUUGAAGAAUCUGAAGAUGAAAAUGGAAUUCUUGGUGAAUGAGGCUGGAUAUGCUCCGUCUUAUAUCGCCCUCCGGCCUGUGCUUUUGACAUAUAGUUUAGAGAAAAGGGUGAUCCCAAGAUAUCAGCUCAUGGCAGCCCUGAAGUCCAGGGGGCUGUGCGCUGGUCAUCCCAAAUUGUUCACAUAUAUCUCGUGUUCAGAGAAGAAGUUCUUGGAAAGGUAUGUCAUCAUCUACAAGAAGCAGUUUCCGGAGCUCAUUGAAUUGUACAGUGCGAGAAAAUAGUAGUUCUGGAUUUGCUAGCUGUAGAUUUUGGUUCCUGCAAUCCAUGGUUUCAGGUUCCAGCCUUUUACCCUCUGCUUAACUUGAUCUGCAGUUUGAGACUUAUUAGUAUUAUGAUUUAUGUCAUUUGCUUCCUUUUUUUCUGGUGCAUUAAGAGGAAUGUAGCUGCAUACAUGUAGAAAGAAAGGAAAGCAAUAUGAAGUGGAACACAAUGACUUCUUGUAGCAUGUUGAUUCGGUCAAUUGUUUCCUGAUAAUUACCUGCAUAGGAAAAAUUAGAUACUGUAGGAAUUUGUAGGAAUUGAGACUGUUGUCCCAUUCUUUUUUUUUAACCUACUUCUGGGAACACAUUUGGCAGACGUGUGUGCUUGUGUGUGUGUGUCGUGGUGACUAUGAAACUGAAACAAAUUCUUUGUUUGAUCUAUGGCUCUCCUUGAUGUGCAUUGAAGUAGAUGCUUUGCUUAUGUUGUAGCUGAUAUCAUUAUGUUAUCAUGAAGAAUUUUGAGAUGAUGGUUUCAAAGGUCACAUUACUAUUACACUAUGGAGUUAUGGUUGCAUCGUUUUUUUCUCCUUUGAUGAAAAAUUGGUGCUUUUGAUCGAUUUUGACAUGAUACGUCGAAUCUGCAUGGAUGUUGUCUAAGAUUGAUCUAAUUUUGGUCGGUUUCUCAGCUGAAUCAGCUAGAAUCCGUUGAAAAUACUUGAGUUUAUUGAUUUUUGGGUGAAUUUUACACUACUUGAUGACCUCAAACUCAAAGGGAAGAAAAAAGAGGACGGAAGGAGAAGAAGAAAGAAAAGAGGAAAGUUGAGAUGGUGAAACGAUAAAAGAAAAAAGAGAAAACUGUGAUUGUGAUUCUAAAUCAGAGGAGGGAACAUUGCUUUUGCUUUGCUUGCUAUUCACUGCAUCCAUCCACUGCAUUUGUUGUUUGCUACUACAUCCAUCGGGUAGAAUAGAUGGAGGAUUACAGGCAAAAGGAAGAGGACAGAAGUAACCCAUAACCUAAUAUGAACUGUGCCUGCUCCUUAUAUUUAUUAAGUUUUAGCCAAUGAUUUUGAGACUUUGGAAAAUUGUGAACUAGUGAUUGCAUAGUGUCCAUAAUCAUGUAUACAUUGCAGAAGCACUUCUUAUUGUUUCGUCAGCAUCAGUAUAGAAUAGGCAGCAUGUUUGGUUGGUGCAAUCCGAUCAAUAAAAGAAAAUAUUUCACAGGUUUGUGGCUUGUGUUCGUGAGCCCUCUUCCCCUUACAUGCAAGCAUGAACGAUUGUUGUUGUCCGCUGUCCAUUGCUCUGUCAUUGAUUUCAGGUAUGCUUCCUCCACCUCUUCCUUCUGCUUCAUCCUCAUCCUCCACUAUUUACUCCUUUCUUCGUUUAACUCCUUACUCUUCCUUUUUUUUUUUGUCUUUCUCGAUGGUCUCAUCUUCUUUCUUCCUCUUUCUCCUCCCUACUCUUAAUACAUGGCUUUCUCUUUUUCUUCGUCCGCCUUCCUCUUUCUUCAUCCACUUUCAUUUGAUUCUUCCUUUUCGAGGCUUCAGAACAUACCGGUACAUAAUGUGUCAGUAUAUUGGUAUCUCAAUCUAUGGAUUGGUACGUAGCGGUCUGGGCAGAGACAGAUAAGUUACUAAUCAGUAAGAGACUAUAAACGCUGGUGCACUGCAAGCUUCAGUCGUACAAGUGCUCGACAACUUGGAAGAGUUUUCAUUUGCUGCUCAGUAUCUGCUACAAAGCUCUUCUAUCGUUAGCGGUGGAAGGUAAGUUUGUGUAUGUUAACACUACCCUGUAUACCACUGAAAAGUGCAUUUUACACAGAAUUAUGUUGUAUUGACGUUUUGGGGGAAAUUUUAGUUUAAAAUUUGCUGAAUUUGGCUCUUAUAAAAUGCAUUAACAGUUAAAAAAUGACAGCAUGAGUUGAUGAUUGCAUAGAUGUGAGCAAUAAGAUGCUAAAAUGGAUCCUAAUUCUACCUAAUAACUGGAUCAAAAUGAAAGUUUCAAUUAACCGGAUUAAUUCGUUGAUUAAAAUGAUCUAAAAAUUGUAUCCAAAUGGACGAAAUCGAUGAACCUUCUUAUCCUUCCAUGAAAAGAUAAUCCUCAAGGGGCAAAUGCAAGAUCGAAUCCGAUCAUACAACACCAUACAACACAUGAACCCUAAUCCUCAUGGAACGAGAUGGGUUAAACAAUGUGGACCUGGUUAGAAUUAAAUAUUUAUCCUAAUUUUAAUAACUAUUUAUAUAUAUUAUAUUUUGCAAUACCAACUGGAUCCGUGGCGCAAUGGUAGCGCGUCUGACUCCAGAUCAGAAGGUUGCGUGUUCGAUUCACGUCGGGUUCAACUUUACAAUAUUUUCACAUUUCGUUUUUGUUCCACUUGUGAUUGGAGCACUGAACGGCCCCACAAGUGGACCCCAUCCGAUUCUUACGCUCCUUUUCAAAUUUUCGAUUUCCUUUUUCUAUACCUUGUGAUUGGAUUACGGGACGGACCCACUAGUGGACCCCAUCGAUCAUAGCUCCCUUUCCUUGUGUGAGAAAUACAUUUAUAAAACACUAAUUUUAGCCUAAUUUCAAUCUAUCGAGAUGUCAAAAUAUCAGUAAAAAAGGAAGAAAAUUAGCUGAUAAAUGAACACAUGAAUAAAUUUGUGGCACAAAAUCUAGGUUCGAACAAUUACAUACAAUACGGUUUUAAAAAAUAACAUUAAUCUAAAUAUACACAAAUAUAUAUAUAUAUAUAUAUAUAUAUAUAUAUAUACCUCAUCCAAAUCCCCUUUCUUCCUGUCCCCAUUCUCCGUCCGCGAUACAUCGUCGUCGCUUUCCUUCGACAAAUGCGAAGAGAAGACAAAGAUUUGGAAUUCAACCGCUGGCCAAUUCGAAGCCCCAUUUGGUUUGGCUCCCCCCCUUCCGCCUUCCUCCCUUUUCUUGCUCCGAAUUAAAUCUUCUUAUGUGACGUUUGUCGUCUGAAACGACGAUUCUCUUUGGUAGCAUACAUUUGAUUCGUCUACACGAGGAGGAUUGUGGUUUGACUUAAAUGAGUACUGUGGGUUAUCAACUUGUUUUCAUGAUAAAGGGGAAUGACAAAGAAAGCCUGACAAAAUUGCCAACCAUGACAUGAAUCCCAACACAUUAUUAUGUUCCGCUGAAGUUUCAUUGGACUUAGCCUGAUUAAUUCUUUCAUUAAUUUGUUUAAUGCUUAUAAGGAGCAACAUACAGUUAGAUGACGUGUAGAAUGUAUCCAAAUUGUGAAAUUGGAGCUAUAAUUUCUCCCGUUGCACUACACAUUCGAUGACCUAGAAGUGGCAGAAAAUGAAAUAUAACUUUUACAUGGCAGUUUUAAUACUUAGAUGCAAGUGUUGGGAAUCUCAUUAGUUAUUGGAAUCGACAAGAUACUUUAUAUGAUCCACACGUCCGAUAAUAAUAAUGACCAAACACAUUUAUCAACUAGUCAUAAAUGAGAGACUUUUCAGAUAUUUAAAAUUAUUUUAAAUUGUUUUGAUGAUGAAAGAAAGCAUUAAGUAUACUUUUAAAAAAAAAUAAAGGAUUGAUGUUCCUUUUCUGGCCUAUCUAUACCAUUAAGGGAUAGACAUUAAGUUCCAUAAGACAUAGAAUAGAAGACACCAAUUGUUUCUUAAUAAAUUAAUCUAAGGAAUCCACUAUGUGAAUUAAUCAAAGGCUUAUUUUUGGACAACUAUGACUCAAGGUAAGUUUAUUUCGUUGCAUGUCCAUUAUAAAUCCAUUGUUUUGCUUACAACAAGAACAUUUCAAAUCUGUAUGUAUAUGAGUUUUCUGAUCUAUUGUUCUCAAUAUUAUUUUUUAAAACUACAUAGAAAGAAAACAAAAGUGGUGAAUAAAAAUGUAAUAUUUAGAUGGUAAUUUUAACUUUUAGAUACAAGUGCACUUCGAGCCUGUAUGCCUUUGCAUUUAAUAAUUAUUCUUUUUGAAUAUUGUUCUCCGACACUACUUAGAAAGAAAACAUAAGAAGGUGCUACAAAGGUGCAUACACAGACUUCUUGUAUCUGUGCUGCAAGAAGUACUUGUGACACUUGUUCUAUGGCACAAAAUGUGCUGUUGGUUUCUCUGGUACUUGAGUGACACACUAACCUCAGCUCUAGUAGAUCAUGUGUACAAUGUGAUCUUACAUGUUGUUGUUCCUUUUUUCAUUUUUUUUGUAAACUUGUUAUGUCCAAGGUUGUAUUACUCCUUUCUGUUCAAGAACAUGCGAAAAAUGCUGAUUAUUUCAGUGCUUUGACUUUUAUUUCAUGUCUCAACAUGCUUUGUAAUUAAUCUUUGACUAUUUGUUACAUGUGCUGUUGCUUACUGAUGGGGUCAAGGAUUUCAAAUAACGUUUGUGAUUGAAACUGAGGAUUUGAAAUAAUGUUUGUGACUGAAACUGAAUAGAUAGAUUUGUAAGGCAACAGAGAUUCUCUGAUGAACUCUAUCUCAACGAAUUGUCACGGACUUAGCUAGUUUUGCCUAAAUCGUGCGGCACCCUUGCGUGUCCGUCCAUAAAGGUCAGCCUCCCCGAAACCUCCAAUGAUCCCUUAGGACCUACAAAAGAGAAAACGGGUUAAAGAAAGUGCCUCACUCGGGAUCCACAAGCAAAAUAUCAGAAAACACAUCAUAGUCAAUGCAAAUUACAAACAUACUUUACAAGCUCCGAACGGUUGCACAACAAAGGAUUUAAAAUGGUCUACUACAGACCGAAAUCUCCUACAAGUGUCCAUAUGACACAACCUUUAUUUACAAACCUAAAACGACCACCCAAACCCAACUAAAAUGGGGUUGUUAAGCCUUCGACCGUCCUUCUAUAUGCUGUGCAAGGCAUGAACAUACCAAAAGACACAGACAUACGUAAGCAUUACAUCAAACAUCCUGUUUAGAAGUUUGUCCGUGACAUUCUUCCCCACCCAUUCCUUCGACGUCCUCGUCGAAGCCUUUGCGACAUUGCAACUCCUCAUCUUUGCUGAGUCUUCAAUCUAUUGAUCUAGCUGCAAUGCACCUCUUGGCUCCCAGCUACUCUCCGCUACUGUUAUUGAGUAGUUGAAUUUUUGAUCCGCCAUGCUGCUUCAACUCGCUAAUGACUCUGACUCUAGUGUGGGGUUGGCUGAGUUGUGUUGAUUCCUGUUGGUUCCUGCGGAUCCUUCAGAUGAAGGAAAAGACUAUCCUUACUUUGCGCCAGUCUCUCAAAUGACUCAUGCUGCUUGAACUGGGUGGAUGCUUGUUGGAGCUUUGACGAGCAUCGCCUCGCAAAAUUUUGAUGUUUUUAGGUCAUUCCUCCAUAAAAUUUGUCCAUCGACUCUUCUUUCACUUAGUUAUCCCUUCUAAGUAGGUUCGCAUCACUUCGCUUUCGAUUGACAUUUCGUUGGAAAAUAAAGCGGACAAUCUACUCUCAAUAGCACUGAUCACCAUUGAUGAGGAUUUAACAACUAUUGUCUUCCAUUAUCUUCGAAUGGUCUUUGAACCUGUGCAGAACUACUCUGUUGGAUAAAUAAGAGAAUUGGGGUACUCGGUUUCGCCCAUUCUCUUAAGAGUUGAGAAGACAAAGGUUACUUGACUUCACCCGCCUCCUCGAGGGUUGUACUCCAUGUAUCGAGCUGAUUACUGGCCUUCACCUGCUCUUUGCUCAGACUUCUGAAGCACUUGAAGUGUUUGCACUCCUUGCGUUGAGUUAGUUACUGUGAUUCACCAUCUCAAUGUUAUCUUAACUUCUAGAAUGCAGGAAGUUUUCACCCCAACUUGGAGUAAGUCUCUAGUAGUUUUGGUCGCCUCUAGGAUUGUACCGUCUUCUCCAUCAACCUUGUCGCCUACUCCACAGAGUAGCAAAGGUACAGUACCGCGUACUCCACAGAAGUCCUUCACUUUCGGCUAUCUUGAUGAGAAGCUCAUUAACACCGGUCUUACGAAGUUCCCUAGCCUCUACCCUUCAGCCUUGUCUCAGUACUUGGAGUUUGCCUCUACAUUCUCCACCUCCUCGGCCCCUUUCACGACCAAGCGUUCUCCCUCCAUGAGAACAAGGGAUCGAUGACUUCACGGAAGUCCCACUUCUGCGGUACUAUGGCACUGCCAUGCCCAUGGCCCUACUAUCCGUCACCUCAUAUCUGCAUCCCUUUUCUUCAUUAUCAGUAGAUCUGCCUCUGUGGCACUUCUUCGAGGCCACCUCCAUUCUAACCGAUGCUUUGUUUUGGGUAGCUAAGUCCCUUUGGACUCGUCGUCACUUCCUUGCCCCUUUCAACCCCCUACUUCAACACCUCUGUAUACUCCAAGCAGUUCCCCUUGGUCGACGGAAAGACAGACUGCAACUCUCAUGCAUGGCCUCUGCCAUCAUGUUGUAGGGUUUGCACCAAUUCUAUUCUCCUUAGUUUCCUUGGUAGCAACGUUCGCUUACUCGACCUUGUCCUUUGACUUGCCGGGCUCCCUUAAGUGAAUAUGAGCUCUAGAGUAGUCCAACUCUCCAACCGCUCCGAUCAUACCUCUGUAUGAUCAAGUCCCCUCAUGGGACUUCCUGGUACUUGCAUUCGAACUUUUCUUUCGAUGUUACACAACCCCCAUAUGCUGAUAACCAAGGCUUUCAUCCGAUAUAAUAUUCGAUGCAUGCACGGAAGACCCGCCUCUGCGAUACCAUGACAUUCACUCCUUGAAUUCAUAGCCUUUCUUACCACCGUGUUGUUCAUCGAAGUGGAACUCCCAGUAGCUCCCGAUCAUUCCUCCGUAUGAUAUAGUCCCUUACGGGAUUAUAUUCGUGUGUAUCGCAUUGCCACGAACUGUUCCACCACGAUCCGUUGCACCAUGUCGCCUUUUGGUGACAUCUCCAUUGCAUUCUGAUCCUUGUGGGAUGAACUCGGAUUGUGAUCCCUUCAUGUGUGACCUCUGCCAAUACAUCGUAGGGCCUCUUCAACUUUCAAUUUGUGUUCGCUCCUUUGGCAAUCAGUCUUUGUCCACUCGCUCUCGGGUCACACCUAGAUGAAGCACCACUCUAGGACAAUCUGUCACCUAGUAGCUCUCGAAGUCCACCGACUUCGCUGAAAUUGGUGCACUAUUGUCUAGAUCCUGGGUCUUUGAGCACCAUCAAGUAUGGUUGCCAACGUUGAGUCGUAGCUCAAACUCAGCCAUCCUAACCUUUGUGCGCUACGCAUUCUUUUCAACUUGCUUGUCCUCGUGGUGCCUCUUGCGCGAAGGGUUGGCCAUUCCUCUAAAUGCCACUCUCAGAUGCCCGCUCCUCUGAACGACUCCUUUUCCCUACAUCUUCAUGCCCGUUCUCCCCAAAACGGUCGCGCGUGCUGGCUGCCCUCAAUGCAGCCCCGCUAGGUCCCCCACGUUUGCAUGCCAAGUAUUUCUAUGAGUGCUUGUCUCGCUCUGAUACCAUCUGUCAUGGACUUAGUUGGUUUUGCCUAAGUCGUACGGCACCCUUACGUGUCCGUCCGCAAAGGUUAGCCUCCCUGAAACCUCUCAUGGUCUCUUAGGACCUACAAAAGAUAAAACGAGUUAGAGAAAGCGCCUCACUCGGGAUCCACAAGCAAACAUCUCAGAAAACACAUCAUAGCCAAUGCAAAUUACAAACAUACUUUACAAGCUCCGAACCGUUGCACAACAAAGGAUCCAAAAUUGUCCAUUACAAAUCGAAAUCUCUCACAAGUGUCCACAUAACAUAACCUUUAUUUACAAGCCUAAAACAACCAUCUAAACCCAACUAAAAUGAGAUUGUUAAGCCUUUGACCGUCCCUCUAUAUGCUUUGCAGGGUAUGAAUAUACCAAAAGAUACGGACAUACAUAAGCAUUACAUCAAACAUCCUAUUUAGAAGUUUGUCCGUGACAGAAUGGCUGUUAUAAUAUUUUGGUCUUUGUUAUAUACAUAUUUACAUGAAUUUUUCCUGUGAAAUUUAGUUUUGUGGUAUAAAGCACUAUUAUCAGCAUGGUUUCUUUACUGUUUAUCUAUAUCUAUAAUGUUUCAUGUUGUGUUUUUCUUGGACUGCUCAUUCAGUGCUGUUAAUUCCCUGCUUUUCAGUUUUUCACAAGGAAUCAAUAUUCUUGACCUUACAUGCGAUUCAAUUAUAGGCUUUUGGAAUUGUUCCUCCAUACUGAAACAUUAGCAUUUUUGUGACAAUGGAAAAUUUGAUUUGUUAUUCUUAUUUUUUGUAUUUCUUGGAGUUUUAAAGUAUGACAUUGGUAUGGACUUCAAAGUAAAUUGAACGGUGCAAUUCUGUAGUUCUGUACUAGAUGCCCUUAGUUCUGGAAGAUGAUGGACUGAAGUAGGUGCAGUGGCAUUGAUAUCACAUCACACACAGGUUCUUAAUGCUAAAGCCCACGCUGCUAAUUUUGUGGCCUUUACAUCUCCUAUCAUUUUUCUGCACUUUCUUCCUUUAGUUGUUGUCUAUGUCAUGUUUGCUAAUAUUCAUAAUCAAUAGAAGACUAUAAUAUAGUAUUCUAAGGUUAUGCUGUUUUUUGUCGACCUUCAGGGUUCUUUUUCAACACAUUCACUGAGUUGUAGUGCGUCAAGUAGAAGGGCAAUUGUGAGGUCCUUGAUUGUUCAGUUGCUGUAUAAAACACUUGUUUGUGCCCCUGAAGCAUCAUUUUGAAUUUAGGUAAGACUUCAAAACGAAUGUGUUCGAAAGGAAUAUGACCAUUUUUACCAUAGUUGUUAUUGGCUUUAAAAAAUAACAGAGGUAGUUUUUUAAGAUAAAGGAAUACAUGCUAUGGAUUGUUAAUUUUACUAGAGUAAUUGUUACUUGUAGGCUUGUUUAAUUUAAUGUUGCCCAAUAUCACUAUAUCCCCUCUUUGCAGCUAUCUAUGAUUGGAUCUAGAAUCAGGUUCAGAGUACUUUGCUUCCUGGAUUUGCAGUGGUACAUGUCCGGAAUGCAGAAAUUUGUUGUUUGGUUUCAUUGCUAUGGUUACCAUGUUAUCCAAAAUGAAUGGUCUAAUCCACAAAACUCACCCCCGCAGUUUGAAGAAGGUUAACAUAUUCAGCCUUACCUAUACAAAUAAAGAGGUCAUUUCCAUUGACUUUACAAACCUAAGUUGAGGACAAAAAGUCAAACUCAUCAUGGAGAUAAGGCCAACCUUUGAAGUCAUUUUUAUUAUAACAUUUUUCCUCCCACUAUUCAGUAUCUUGUUGGGACGUUUCUCACUAUUCAGUAUCUUGUUAGGACAUUUCUUAAGCUUAAAAAAUUUGGAAUUUGAACAUCGUCUCUGAUUUUUAUUCUGCUGUUAGUGUUACAUUUACUUUGUUCGCUAUAAACGGUGUAGAUUGGUAAUUGUCUUUGACUCUUUGUUUGGUUAAAUAUAUUGCAGUGUUGUUGAAAAUGUUUAGCUUAUGAUAAAACUUUUGGUGACUUUAUGGUGAAAAUUUGCAAUCAACUGAAUGAAUGCAUUCCUCUUGAUGACAUCGUGAUACAGUAUUGAAUGUGGAAGUGUACUGCCAAAGUGAUAGUGACCUUUUGUUGCCCGUGUUAUGAUGACCAGUUGAUUUUGCAAGAGGCAAAUCAUAUCUUACAAAUGGGUAUGGUAUAAGAUAACAGACAUGAUAGUAUACCUUACAUGCUGAUAUUGGCUGACAUGGAGGCCUAACAUUUUCAGAACCACGUGAAUAGAUGUUGGUGGAUUACUUUUUAUAGUUUUGAUUUUUUGGAACCUUUUUAUGUGCUUAUCUAUCAUAAAAUGGAACAAAUAAGUUUUGAUAGCAAGGAAUUUCUAUUUGUUUUUGGGCCAUUGUAUGGAAUAAAUAAGUUUUGAUAGAAGGAUUUUGUGGCACACAUCUUUUUCAAAUAAAUGGUCUUAGUUAAGGAAAGUUGAGAUUGAAUUCCAAAUACCAUUCAGUCAGCUAACACCCCAUGGUGCCUUAUUUUCUUUUCGUUCAAGAAUUUCGACUUCUUUUACUCUUUUGAUCGGCUUAGUUAGUUAGUAUUUGUUGAUAAGAUCUAUCACUAUGUUUAGAUUCCUUGGUCUUACCACUUCAAUUGAGGAUCCAACCUAACUCCAUGAGGUUGACUACGAUGGGCAAAUUUCAUCAUAAAAAACAGGUUAUUAAAUAUAUGUGUACUAGCCUUUGGCAUAUUAUUUUUCAUCGUAGUCUUUUGGAGGACAAUAAAAUGAAUUUUUUGUCCAUUUUUUAUGAGUAUGUGUUUCUUCAGUAGUUUGGUAUCAUGAAAUUAAUUUUAGGUACCCAUGAAAUAGUUUGUAUUAAAGAAUAUUUUGGUUGUUCAAGGUGUUGGGCGCGGAGCGAACCUCGAUUGAAGCUCGGGUCUAUCAUCAAUUUGAUGUUGGGAGACAAGUAGGUUUGGUAGAAGAUCCUACAAAACUAAAAAAGGGGCAUGCCCGACAAAAGCCUUUCCAAAGUAUAGUUGGAGAAACGUAACAUUUGCUUCAAAGGGUUCAAAAGGGGUGUUAAGUGACUUGCUCUUAGGGUUUCGAGGGUUUUUUUGCCUUUUAGGCGUAGUCGGAGAGGAAGGGAAUACGGUGUUGGUGACGGUUUGUGUCUUCGGACAAGAAGAGGAGACCGAUGAAGAGGUCACCGGCAUUCUCUCUCUUCUCCAAAACCCUCUGCUUCAUCUAUCGCCCUCGUCCCGCCGAUGCUCUACUUUCCUCCUCCUCCUCUUACUCCGUCGCCGCUACCGGAAGCGGAGCUCUUCAGCCCAGCAUCAUGGCCGAAUACCUCGUCACGUCAUGUGGCUUCUCCCCGGAGAAUGCGACCAAGGCCUCGAAUCUUCUCGGCGGCAUCACGUCCCGCCGGCAGCCCGACUCCGUCCUUGGCUUUCUCAAAAGCCACGGUUUCGACGACACCCAUAUGAAAGACCUGCUGUCUUGGAACCCCCGGUGUCUUCUCCUCGACGUGGAGACGACCCUAGCUGCCAAGUUCCGAUCUCUCCAGGAGUUAGGCUUCUCGCAGUCCGACAUCACCCACCUCGUCCUGGCCAAUCCCUUCGCAAUCAACUAUGACGUCCGCACCGUGGUGCACAAGAUCCGGUUUUGGCAGGGACUCAUCGGAUCCAACGACGUCCUCGUAAAUCUCUUUAAGAGCCGCCGGUGGUUUCUCGGGUUUAGCAUCGAGAAGAGGAUCCAGCCAAACAUCGAGAUGCUACGGAGCUGUGGAAUCACGGAUCAAAAGCUUAGAACGAUCCUGAGGUACCGGCCCACGAUGGUAACCCAGAGGGCGGAAACCUUGAGGGCUUUGAUCAGUCGUGUCGAGGGAUUCGGAGUACCCCGCACUUCGGGGAGGUUCCACUGGACUCUGUUGAUGCUCUCCACUCUUAGCGUGGAGAGAUGCAAUGCGCAAAAGAAGCUAUUCGAGGCCUUCGGGUGGUCAGAGGCCGACUUCCUCGAUGCAAUCAGAAAGACUCCUUUUUUCUUGACAGGUUCCCUGAAGAAUCUGAAGAUGAAAAUGGAAUUCUUGGUGAAUGAGGCUGGAUAUGCUCCGUCUUAUAUCGCCCUCCGGCCUGUGCUCUUGACACUUAGUUUAGAGAAAAGGUUGAUCCCAAGAUAUCAGCUCAUGGCAGCCCUGAAGUCCAGGGGGCUGUGCGCUGGUCAUCCCAAAUCGGUCACAUAUAUGCUGUGUCCAGAGAAGAAGUUCUUGGAAAGGUAUGUCAUCAUCUACAAGAAGCAGUUUCCGGAGCUCAUUGAAUUGUACAGUGCGAGAAAAUAGUAGUUCUGGAUUAGCUAGCUGUAGGUUUUGGCUCCUGCAAUCCAUGGUUUCUGGUUCCAGCCUUUUACUCUCUGCUUAACUUGAUCUGCAGUUUGAGACUUAUUAGUAAUAUGAUUUAUGUCAUUUGCUUCCUUUUUUUCUGGUGCAUUAAGAGGAAUGUAGCUGCAUACAUGUAGAAAGAAAGGAAAGCAAUAUGAAGUGGAACACAAUGACUUCUUGUAGCAUGUUGAUUCGGUCAAUUGUUUCCUGAUAAUUUCCUGCAUAGGAAAAAUUAUAUACUCUAGGAAUUUGUAGGAAUUGAUACUGUUGUCCCAUUCUUUUUUUUAACCUACUUCUGGGAACACAUUUGGCAGACAUGUGUGCUUGUGUGUGUGUGUGUGUGUGUCGUAGACUAUGAAACUGAAACCAAUUCUUUGUUUGAUCUAUGGCUCUCCUUGAUGUGCAUUGAAGUAGAUGCUUUGCUUAUGUUGUAGCUGAUAUCAUUAUGUUAUCAUGAAAAAUUUUGUCAUAACCCGGGCCUGAUAGGCUAACUGAUCUAUCAACUUCGUUUGGUCUAAACCACUGAUUAAAAUGUUUAAGCUGAAGUUAAUAAUAGUACACUCAUCAGACUCUUAUAAGUCAAUCUUAAUCUUGCCCACUUCCGAUUAGGGACAAAUCAGGGGUGUUACAAAUUUUGAGAUGAUGGUUUCAAAGGUCACAUUACUAUUACACUAUGGAGUUAUAUGGUUGCAUCCUUUUUUUCUCCUUUUAAUGAAAAAUUGGUGCUUUGCAAUUAGCUACUAGUGAAGUUCAUGUUUAUUUUGAUACGAUACGUCGAAUCUACGUGGAUGUUGUCUAAGAUUGAUCUAAUUUUGGUCAAUUUCUCAGCUGAAUCAGCUAUAAUCGUUUGAAAAUACUUUGAGUUUAUUGAUUUUUGGGUGAAUUUUACACUACUUGAUGACCUCAAACUCAAAGGGAAGAAAAAAGAAAGACGGAUGGAGAAGAAGAAAGAAAAGAGGAAAGUUGAGAUGGUGAAAAGAUAAAAGAAAAGAGAGAAAACUGUGAUUGUGAUUCUAAAUCAGAGGAGGGAACAUUGCUUUUGCUUUGCUUGCUAUUCACUGCAUCCAUCCACUGCAUUUGUUGUUUACUACUCCAUCCAUCGGGUAGAAUAGUGGACCCCAUCGGUCUUAGCUCCCUUUCCUUCUGUGAGAAAUACUUGUUAAUGAUUUAUACAACACUAAUUUUAGCCUAAUUUCAAUCUAUCGAGAUGUCAAAAUAUCAGUAAAAAAAGAAGAAAAUUAGCUGAUAAAUGAAUACGUGAAUAAAUUUGUGGCACAAACUCUUGUCUCGUCACAGAACCAUCGUAUAGUUGUACUAAGAUAAUAACAUUAAUCUAAAAAUCCAUACACAAAUAGAUAGAUUAUAUAUAUAUAUAUAUAUAUAUAUAUAUAUAUAUAUAUAUAUAGACACACACACGCACAAACCUCAUCCAAAUCCCCUUUCUCUGUCCCCAUUCUCCGUCCGCGAUACAUCGUCGUCGCUUUCCUUCGACAAAUGCGGAGAGAAGACAAAGAUUUGGAAUUCGACCGCUGGCCAAUUCGAAGCCCCAUUUGGUUUGGCUCCCCCCUUUCCUCCUUCCUCCCUUUUCUUGCUCCGAAUUAAAUCUUCUUAUGUGACGUUUGUCGUCUGAAACGACGAUUCUCUUUGCUAUCAUGCAUUUGAUUCGUCUACACGAGGAGGAUUGUGGUUUGAAUUAAAUGAGUACUGUGGGUUAUCUACUUGUUUUCAUGAUAAAGGGGAAUGACAAAGAAAGUCUGACAAAAAUGCCAACCAUGACAUGAAUCCCAACACAUUAUUAUGUUCCGCUGAAGUUUCAUUGGACUUAGCCAGUGUAAUUCUUUCAUUAAUUUGUUUAAUGCUUAUAAGGAGCAACAUACAGUUGGAUGACGUGUCCAAUGUAUCCAAAUUGUGAAAUUGGAGCUAUAAUUUCUCCCGUUGCACUACACAUUCGAUGACCUAGAAGUGGCAGAAAAUGAAAUAUAACUUUUACAUCGCAGUUUUAAUACUUAGAUGCAAGUGUUGGGAAUCUCAUUAGUUAUUGGAAUCGACAAGACACUUUAUAUGAUCCACAUGUCCAAUAAUAAUAAUGACCAAACACAUUUAUCAACUAGUCAUAAAUGAGAGACUUUUCAGAUAUUUAAAAUUAUUUUAAAUUGUUUUGAUGAUGAAAGAAAGCAUUAAGUAUACUUUAAAAAAAAAAUAAAGGAUUGGUGUCCCUUUUCUGGCCUAUCUAUACCAUCAAGGGAUAGACAUUAAGUUCCAUAAGACAUAUAUUAGAAGACACCAGUUGUUUCUUAAUAAAUUAAUCUAAGGAAUCCAAUAUGUGAAAUAAUCAAAGGCUUACUCUUGGACAACUAUGACUCAAGGUAAGUUUAUUUCGUUUCAUGUCCAAUAUAAAUCCAUUGUUUUGCUUACAACAAGAGCAUUUCAAAUCUGUAUGUAUAUGAGUUUUCUAAUCUACUGUUCUCAAUAUUAUUUUUUAAAACUACAUAGAAAGAAAAGAAAAGUGGUGGAUAAAAAUGUAAUAUUUACAUGGUAAUUUUAACUUUUAGAUACAAGUGCACUUCGAGCCUGUUUGCCUUUGCAUUUUAUAAUUAUUCUUUUUGAAUAUUGUUCUUCAACACUACUUAGAAAGAAAACACAAGAAGGUGCUACAAAGGUGCAUACACAGACUUCUUGAAUUUUUGCUGCAAGAAGUACUCGUGACACUUGUUUUAUGGCACAAAAAGUGCUGUUCGUUUCAAUGGUACUUGAGUGACACACUAAACUCAGCUCUAGUAGAUCAUAUGUACAAUGGGAUCUAACAUGCUGUUGUUCCUUUUUUCAUGCUUUUUGUAAACUUGUUAUGUCCAAGGUUGUAUUACUCCUUUCUGUUCAAGAACAUGCGAAAAAUGCUGAUUAUUUCAGUGUUUUGACUUUUAUUUCAUGUCUCAACAUGCUUUGUAAUUAAUCUUUAAUUAUUUGUUACAUAUGCUGUUGCUUACUGAUGGGGUCAAGGAUUUCAAAUAACGUUUGUGAUUGAAACUGAGGAUUUGAAAUAAUGUUUGUGACUGAAACUGAACAGAUAGAAUUGUAAGGCAACAGAGAUUCUCUGAUGAACUCUAUCUCAACGAAUGGCUGUUAUAAUAUUUUGGUCUUUGUUAUAUACAUAUUUACAUGAAUAUUUCCUGUGAAAUUUAGUUUUGUGGUAUAAAGCACUAUUAUCAGCAUGGUUUCUUUAUUGUUUAUCUAUAUCUAUAAUGUUUCAUGUUGUGUUUUUCUUGGACUGCUCAUUCAGUUCUGUUAAUUCCCUGCUUUUCAGUUUUGUUUCUGUCCUCUCUCUAUAUGUGUUUUCCACAAGGAACCAAUAUUCUUGACCUUACAUGCUAUUCAAUUAUAGGCUUUUGGAAUUGUUCCUCCAUACUGAAACAUUAGCAUUUUUGUGACAAUGGAAAAUUUGAUUUGUUCUUCUUAUUUUUUGUAUUUCUUGGAGUUUUAAAGUAUGACGUUGUUAUGCACGUGAAAGUAAAUUGAACGGUGCAAUUCUGCAGUUCUGUACUAUAUGCCCUUAGUUCUGGAAGAUGAAGGACUGAAGUAGGUGCAAUGGCAUUGAUAGCACAUCACACACAGGUUCUUAAUGCUAAAACCCAUGCUGCUAAUUUCGUAGCCUUUACAUCCCCUUUCAUUUUUCUGCACUUUCUUCCUUUAGUUGCUGUCUAUGUCAUGUUUGCUAAUAUUCAUAAUCAAUAGAAGACUAUAAUAUAGUAUUCUAAGGUUAUGCUGUUUUUUGUCAACCUUCAGGGUUCUUUUUCAACACAUUCACUGAGUUGUAGUGCAUCAAGUAGAAGGGCAAAUGUGAGGUCCUCGAUUGUUCAGUUGCUGUAUAAAACACGUGUUUGUGCCCCUGAAGCAUCAUUUUCAUUUUAGGUAUGACUUAAACACGAAUGUGUUCGAAAGGAAUAUGACCAUUUUUGCCAUAGUUGUUAUUGGCUUUAAAAAAUAACAGAGGUAGUUUUUUAAGAUAAAGGAAUACAUGCUAUGGAUUGUUAAUUUUACUAGAGUAAUUGUUACUUGUAGGCUUGUUUAAUUUAAUGUUGCCCAAUAUCACUAUACCUCCUCUUUGCAGCUAUCUAUGAUUGGAUUUAGAAUCAGGUUCAGAGUACUUUGCUUCCUGGAUUUGCAGUGGUACAUGUCCGGAAUGCAGAAAUUUGUUGUUUGGUUUCAUUGCUAUGGUUACCAUGUUAUCCAAAAUGAAUGGUCUAAUCCACAAAACUCACCCCCGCAGUUUGAAGAAGGUUAACAUGUUCAGCCUUACCUAUACAAUUAAAGAAAGAGGUCAUUUCCAUUGACUUUACAAACCUAAGUUGAGGACAGAAAGGCAAACUCAUCAUGGAGAUAAGGCUAACCUUUGAAGACAUUUUUAUUAUAACAUUUUUCCUCCCACUAUUCAGCAUCUUGUUGGGACAUUUCUCACUAUUCAGUAUCUUGUUAGGACAUUUCUUAAGCUUAAAAAAUCUGGAAUUUGAACAUCGUCUCUGAUUUUUAUUUUGCUGUUAGUCUUACAUUUACUUUGUUUGGUAUAAACGGUGUAGAUUGGUAAUUGUCUUUGACUCUUUGUUUGGUUAAAUAUAUUGCAGUGUUGUUGAAAAUGUUUAGCUUAUGAUAAAACUUUUGGUGACUUUAUGGUGAAAAUUUGCAAUCGACUGAAUGAAUGCAUUCCUCUUGAUGACAUCGUGAUAUAGUAUUGAAUGUGGAAGAGUACUGCCAAAGUGAUAGUGACCUUUUGUUGCCUCUGUAUUAUGAUGACCAGUUGAUUUUACAAACUAGACCAUUAUAGUUUGGCUGAUUGAUUUUGCAAGAGGCAAAUCAUAUCUUACAAAUGGGUAUGGUAUAAGAUAACAGACAUGAUAGUAUACCUUACAUGCUGAUAUCGGCUGACAUGGAGGCCUAACAUUUUCAGAACCACAUGAAUAGAUGUUGGUGGAUUGCUUUUUAUAGUUUUGAUUUUUUGGAACCUUUUUAUGUUCUUGUCUCUCAUAAAAUUGAAUAAAUAAGUUUUGAUAGAAGGAUUUUGUGGCACACAUCUUUUUCAAAUAAUUGGUCUUAGUUAAGGAAAGUUGAGAUUGAAUUCCAAAUACCAUUCAGUCAGCUAACACUGCAUGGUGCCUUUUUUUCUUUUCGUUCAAGAAUUUUGACUUCUUUUACUCUUUUGAUCGGCUUAGUCAGUUAGUAUUUGUUGAUAAGAUCUAUUGCUAUGUUUAGAUUCCUUGGUCUUACCACUUCGAUUGAAGAUCCAACCUAACUCCAUGAGGUUGACUACGUUGGGCAAAUUUCAUCAUAAAAAAUAGGUUAUUAAAUAUAUGUGUACUAGUCUUUGGCGUAUUAUUUUUCAUCGUUGUCUUUUGGAGGACAAUAAAAUGAAUUUUUUAUCCAUUUUUUAUGGGUAUGUGUUUCUUUAGUAGUUUGGUAUCAUGAAAUUAAUUUUAGGUACCCAUGAAACAGUUUGUAUUAAAGCAUAUUUUGGUUGUUCAAGGUGUUGGGCGCGGAGCCAACCUCGAUUGAGUAGGUUAGGUAGAAGAUCCUACAAAACUAAAUCAGAGGCAUGCCCGACAAAAGUCUUUCCAAAGUAGAGCUGGAGAAAUGUAAUAGUUGCUUUAAAGGGUUCAAAGGGCUGUUAGGUGACUUAGCAUACCUAGGACAUUUUAUAUAAAGCUUUGGUAAUCGUCAAUAUUAAGUGGGAAGUUAAUUUGUGGAAUUAUUAAGCGUUACUCGAUCGUGGAGAGUUAACCAAACCAUCAGGACAUUUCCAUUAGCAUAGUCGUGCGAACUUGGUAUAUUAUAGUUGUCCAAUGUGUUGGGCCAUGGAGCUAACCUUGAUUCAAGCUUGGGUCUAUUGUCAGUUUAAUCUCGCUAGAUGAUUGGGUUCAAUAGGGGCAUAUGCAAAAUUUAGUCGGGGACAUACCAAACAAAAGUCUUUGAUGCUUAUGUUAGUAUAUCUAGAGAAAUGUAAUGUAGGAUUCGGAGGUUUCAAAGAGCACUACCUAGGGCUUUUUAAUAAGGGUUUUGAUUACCAUCAAAAUUAAGUGGUUUCGUUGGAUUGUUGGGUGUUACUCGGAUGUGAGGAGUCACUCAAACCGUUAAGAGAUAUAUGGCAGCUUCAUGGCUGGAUUUGACCAUAUUAGAGAUACAGGGAGUUUCGUGGCUAGAUUCGAUCGCAUUCGGGAUAGAGAAUAAUUCAUUAUCAUAUUCCAUUACAUCGUUGAUAAAGGAUACUUUAUGGUCAUAUUCGGCCACGUUGGAGAAAUGAUGCUUCAUGUCGAAGUCAAUUGCAUCGAGGGCUCGAGAUGCAUCUUGGCAACAUCAUCAAGCUUUUUUUAUCGUUUUUCUACCACAAGCCACUCCAACUACAAGCUCGACUUACCUUUGUUCUACAAUUGAAAUACGAUUUGCUUUAGUAACAACGUCAUAUUAAUUUUUGAUGAUUUGACAUUUUUGCCCUGAUACUUGAUCUUUUAUGUUUGAUUGGGGCCUUCCAUAUCGUGCACCACUCAAAUUAACGAAAAAGCUAAGGAUAAGGUAGUGAAGGCCUAACAAUGCCUGACCCCUAUAAAAGGGAGCCUUAGUUGUAUCUGAGCUUCCUACUUUACAAAGCCACCAUCUUUGAUACUAAACAAACAGGUGGCUGCAGUCUGUGGGCAAAGGCAUCCAUGGAAGCCACCUUCUUCAUUUUAGUAGGUAAAAGCAGUUAACCUUACCUGUCUUCCCCACCCGAUGAACAGCUUCCUUGAAGCUUCCUACAGUUUCUUGCACUCAGCUGAUUGGACUCAGAAAAUAAAUAUUUCAUCUUAUUUAAUGUCAGUUUUCAGAAUUAUAUACCCUCAGCAACCUUUUUUUUUUUCUAUUCAAGGACAUAAAACUGCUUUGUUGAUAAAUUUUGCUGUUAAUCUCGAGUUUUGGUAAAUUGAGAGCUAUGUCAUGAUGUCUUUAGAACUAAAUUUGGCACAACAGGAUAAAUUUCUAGCAUGCUUCUUAACCCUAAUGUUAGAAACCUAGUGGAUUCAGGUACAUGUUGCAUGAAACUCCACACACUCAUCAGGCUUGAUUGAAUUUUUAUGAGACUCACAUCGUGACAUCCAAGUUGAUGCUAAUUUAAUGAUUUAGUUUGAGGAGUCAUUACAUCCAAAUGCGAGCUUACUCAACGCACUUGAUCAGUGUCAUAGGAAACAUAUAUAUUAUCAUGAUAGAGUAUGAAAGCUUAGAUUAGGUAUAUAAAACACUAAGUGAUAGACAGAGUAGUAUCAGCAUGAAUAUGAAUGUUAGCUAGAUAUAUAAUUCAUGGUGUAGGAUUCAUGACAAAGGAGGUGAGUUGUACAUUAAAAGUUGUCUUAGUUGCCCAGUGAAGAAAAAAAAGGCUUUUUCAUUAAGUUCAUGAACCUGAAACACUGGUCCAAAGUGUUUAUUCAUUUAUUUUAUGAGCCUUGAAGUAUUUUUUUGUUCAUCAUCUCGACCCAGUCUGAUAACUUAUUAAUUUGAUGAGUAUGAAACACUAAUUCAAAGCACUUGCAUCCAUAUUAAUGAAAAUAGACUUAUUUAACAAUCUGCCCCACUUAUGUUUAACAUAUUGAACUUUACACUCAGCCAUCUUUUCUGGUUUGGGUACCUCAUCAUGCCCAUUAAUAAAUCCCCCUUGAUAUGAUUUGUCACAACUUGAUCUGAGGAGAUAUCUUAAUAACAUUAUGAAUCUGAACUAAGUGCUUAGGCCAAAGUUAAUAACGAUAAACUUAUGUAGCUCUAUAUACCAAUUUGAUUGAGCUGUUGUAUGUGAUGUAGAUCUAAACAUGCGGCAUCACAUUCUUUUAUCCUGCUAUAAAUGCUCCUCAUCUUCAUGGCUUCACCUAAACAUCACUUGAAGUCCUCACAAGAACAGCCAUGUCUUCUCUUGGAGCCAGCUAUGCUUACAUCCAUGAACUGAGGAAACGCUGCAAGGAAAUGGAGAGGAAGAAGACAGAUGGUGGUGUGGCCACAGAGGAGAAGAGCUCCAAGGGAAGAGUUCAUCCUAGUGACACCCCUUCACCAGUGUGUCGUGAAGAACGAGGUGAAGGUAAUUGUUGGAGAAGCUCGGUCACCAAAUAAAUCCCCAAAAAAGAAAGAUGAUGAAUUAUUGGGUGUUGAUGGGGGGCUUGUUUUACAUUUAGACAAUGCUAUGUCCACAUAUAUAUAUUUUGCCUUCCAAUGUUCCAAGUCUCUUUAGUAGGGAAAUGUGGGAGGAAUAAUCAUCCAAUUGUUUUCUUUUUCUCUACCUAGAUACGACAGAAAUAGAUGUUGCUUUCAUUAUUAACAUAGUCAGGUUCAUAGCCAUAUGGAAGUUUUUUUAAUGAAUAUUUUUCUUCUAUCAUAUCAAAUUGCACACAAGAUACAAGCUCAACAAUGGAUGGUAAUAUUAUGGAAUAAUCACAUUUAUGGCCAACUAAGGAUCAGAAUAUUUUAAGGAUGGUAAUAUGUAUCCUAGAGAUUAUCCAAACUCAACAAUGAAGACAACAACAAUUGAAGUUUGUAUGCGGGUUUCAAUUUUACUUAUAACUUAAAUUCAUCUUUGAUAAGAAUGAUCUCUCAGCUGAUUGUUAGGGUUGACAAGUAUUUUAAAAAUAAAUUUAUUUGGAGGAUAAAAAAUUUAAAUUUUAUGAAAAGAAAUUUUUGUGAAUCAGAGUUUAGUUGUCUUGUAAAUAUCUAAUAUAUCUCAACGUCUUAACAAGACAUCAUGAAAAAAAAAAAAAAAAAAAAAAAACCCUUGGUGGUGAUAAUUUUAUACUGAUAAUUUUGAGCUUUUAUCUAUCAGAUUAUUUUAAUGUCCCUCAGACAACUUUUUGCUCGUGUCAAUCGAUCCUGUUGCCCAAGUGCAAGAAUUCUGGCAUCUUGAUACUGAAUUUGCUCCUUUUUUUUUCUUUUGUUUUCUUCUAUUUCCGUUCUUUGGGUUGUAGACUUUGUGCUCUAAUUUUGAGUUGGAUUUCCUAUAGUCUGAAAAGCUAUUGCUCUUCUUCGUUCAUAAUCAGCCAUAUUUUUGCUCCUUUGGCUUUCAGAAUCUGGUUGGAGCAAGCAAGUUCUUUUAUGGAUGUCAUCUUUGGCAUGGAUUGACGACCUCCAAGCAGAAGCAUUCCUCUGAUCUGAUCACCAGGCCUACUCAAUCGUGGUCCUCGAUGAACAUGAGAUAAAAGUACCUUGGCCUGCUUACAAAGUACAAGCUUCCAAGUGCAAGCUUCCUCUUGUUAACUCAAACAUAGACUGGAGUAGCUUUAAGAGGAUACCAGCUACUCCUAGAGUCCUUAACUUUCUGCUUAGAACUUCAUAGAACACAUUUUCUCAUUUCGGACAGACUUGCUGCUUUAAAUAUUUCCUUACUUCAUCAAUUUUGGUGCUGCAGAAUAUGAGACUGAAUCCAUCCAUAAAAGAUCGUAUCUUCUUUUCUUGUCAAUUUGCUCGAGAGUUUUGGAACUACUUUCAGAUCCAUUUGAAUGAAAUUUUAAUUUCAUUGCAGCUUUUAAAUGAUUAAAAUAUUUUUAUUUAGACAGAUUACAAAUCAUAUCGGUUUUUCUUGUUAUCAGUUAAACAAAGUUGAAGGUUUAUUAUGAUAAAUUUAUAUAUAUAUCUUAUUAUGAUGAUGGAUUGUGGUCUGAAAUCCAUCUAAUUAAUUUGUAUGCAUAAAUAUUUUAUCCAAUGAGUUUAUACAUCUAAAUUAACAAAAAAAUUGGUCUAAUAAUUUUAUCUAAAAUAUUCUAUCCAAUUUAUUGAGAAUAUUAACUUCCAUCUGCGAAUUCUCUCUCCACCGCUUGCUCUUAGGGUUUCGAGGUUUUUUGCUUUUUAGGCGCAGUCGGAGAGGAAGGGAAUACGGUGUUGGUGACGGUUUGUGUCUUCGGACAAGAAGAGGAGACCGAUGAAGAGGUCACCGGCAUUCUCUCUCUUCUCCAAAACCCUCUGCUUCAUCUAUCGCCCUCGUCCCGCCGAUGCUCUACUUUCCUCCUCCUCCUCUUACUCCGUCGCCGCUACCGGAAGCGGAGCUCUUCAGCCCAGCUUCAUGGCCGAAUACCUCGUCACGACAUGUGGCUUCUCCCCGGAGAAGGCGACCAAGGCCUCGAAUCUCCUCGGCGGCAUCGCGUCCCGCCGGCAGCCCGACUCCGUCCUUGGCUUUCUCAAAAGCCACGGUUUCGACGACACCCAUGUGAAAGAGCUGCUGUCUGGGAACCCCCGGUGGCUUCUCCUCGACGUGGAGACGAACCUGGCCGCCAAGUUCCGAACUCUCCAGGAGUUAGGCUUCUCACAGUCCGACAUCACCCACCUCGUCGUGGCCAAUCCCUCCGCAAUCAACUGUCGCGUCCCCACCAUGGUGCACAAGAUCCGGUUUUGGCAGGGACUCAUCGGAUCCAACGACCUACUCAUAAAGGUCUUUAAGCGCCGCCAGUGGAUUCUCG